CAAUCCUAACCCUAGUUCCCAGCCCCCUCUACCCUUGCUCUCUUUCCUGCCCCGCCGCCAGCCUCCACCUCCCUCAGCGCCACCCAUGCCCAACCACCGCGUCCAGAUCCACGUCCCCCUCCCCCAGCACCACCCGUGCACGACCACCCGCUUGACCUCCUGCGUCCCCUCCUCCUCAACGCUUGCACCACGAUGGACACCAACAUCGUCGCCCUCACAGCCGCAUCGAAGAGGAACACACUCGUCUUUGACGCCGAGCAGGACCUCCCGGUCGCGUACUCCAAGUACACGCCGGAGCUCUCCGAGAAGCUUGCUGCCAAGCGACAUCUUUAGAGUCGUGCGCUUUGGCGGAUCCCUCAUCAGGCCGUCAGCUGAAGGACUGGUCGUACGUGAACUGAGUGGAUCGGAGAAAUUGGCAGUUGUUCUUGGUGGAUGAGAGGGUCAUGAGCAUGAGUACUGUACCUACAAGGUCGUUCCAUAUGGUUUGUUCUCCCAAGUUCCGCUCACAACCCGACGAACUACAAGUUAAGCUCAAUACUCUAAUUGCAAACUUCUGCAACUCAGGGCAAUCAUCUCCAUACGAAUCCCACCAAUCAGCUGGCUUUUUUUUAGUUCUUGUCAAAAUAGCUGAUUGCAUUCCAAAUAGGCCAUCAGCAUUCCUAAAUGAAUCAAU